UUACACAUAGCUAUUUUAUUACUCUGAAUGUUUAGAACAGAGAAACAUCACUAUCAAUAGCUUCCAUCAACCAUGAAGUUACAAAUUCACAUACAUCGGAUACAAUUCCAUCAAAUUUACAUACAUGAAUCAAAAGAGAAUGAAAACAGAGGCGCAACAUCUAAAAACACUAGUGCAUCAACUAAAUAUUCACAGCGUGAGACCUCUUUUCAUAAUGUUUGGUUACAGCUUAAGUUGCAAGCUUCUCUUCAAGGUUACCCUGCAGUGGACGUAAAUGAACUUGUACAAAAGUGCAAGUGUCUCGCAUAAAAAAAAGUGCAAGUGUCAACACUUCGAUACAAAAAGGUGACAACAAACAGGAACAAUAUCUAUAAGAUAUAAUAAGCAUAAUCGAUCUGAUAUCUCAGUUUCUCGCAAUAACAGUGGCAUAUAUACACAACUUGUUUUUGUCACAGCAAAGUUACCCAAUUUUACAGCUAUAUGGAAAAAAUAAUGGAGUAAUUUGUGAUAGAAUCAUAUCUCAGAUUUAUACAAACCAUGCAACUGAAAAAAUCCAUUCAAAUGACAACCUAAUCACAUGCUUCUGGAUUAGUUAGAAAUAUUUAUCAGCUAACAGUCUGGAUUGAUGAGAUAUUAGAGGCUUCUUGCAAGUCAGGCUCAAAUCACAGUACCAAUGUCAAUACUCUUAAGUGCAAGUGCUCAAUGAUGCAUCACCACAAAAUUGUAUGGUAAGAAAAUAACAAGGAGUUAAGUCUAACCAUUUCAGAUGUUCGAGAAAAAUGGGCAGAGUCAUCAUCAUCUCCAUAACAGUAAAAACCAAAGGAUUAUGCAAUUAUUCAAUAAUGUAACAACAGGGAACAGUACCUCUUUAUUCAGAAGAAUAAGUAGAAUUUCUUGCCUUUAUUGAUAACCUUAACGUCCUGCUUCAGCCUCCUUAUUGUGCUGAUCCUAUUCCGUGUAAUUUCCAUGCAACAGAUCAUUGGUCC
rnacentral:lncRNA from 1 species